rnacentral:tRNA from 1 species
GGCUCGGUAGCUUAAUGGUCAAAGGUGCGUGUGUAGUAUAGCAGAAGAUGAGGGUUCAAAACCCACCUGAGCCA